AUGUUGAUGCAAGAUUACUUUUUGGAGAAUCCUACAUAUCCUGCACACCUCUUCCGCAGAAGGUACCGAAUGCCCCGAUCCCUUUUUGUGAAAAUUGUUGAAGCUUGCGAGGCAAAUUGUCGGUAUUUCACUCAGAUAAGGAAUGUCGCAGGCUUAAAGGGAUUUAGUGCAUAUCAAAAAAUCUCCGCAGCUAUGGGGGUGAUUGCAUAUGGGGUUCCGGCUGACUAUGCAGAUGAGUAUCUUCGCAUUGGUGAAGAUAGCACAAUGGAGUCUGUGCGUAGAUUUGCGAAAGUGAUCGUCCGUGUCUUUGGUCCCGAGUAUCUUCGGGCACCAAAUGACACAAAACAAAAAAAACAAUGUGAAUUUGCAAGGGUGCAAGAGGCAGGCCGAAAAAAGAUUGAAAGAGCAUUCGGUGUUUUGCAAUCUAGCUUUGCCAUUGUCCGAGGUCCUGCUUGUUUUUGGGAUAAGAAAACCCUGAAGAACAUCAUGACUUGA
rnacentral:rRNA from 1 species